rnacentral:rRNA from 1 species
UACGGAGGAGGCAAGCGUUAUCCGGAAUUAUUGGGCGUAAAGCGUCCGCAGGUGGCACCUCAAGUCUGCUGUCAAAGACCGGGGCUUAACCCUGGAAAGGCGAUGGAAACUGAAAGGCUAGAGAGAGGUAGGGGUAGAGGGAAUUCCCAGUGUAGCGGUGAAAUGCGUAGAGAUUGGGAAGAACAUCGGUGGCGAAAGCGCUCUACUGGACCUCAUCUGACACUCAGGGACGAAAGCUAGGGGAGCGAAUGGG